UGGCAAACUAGCACAUGGCGAAGGAUCGGUGAAAUGGGCUCGUAAGAAAAACUAAUAUUUUGCAGAAAAUAUGGGACUGAUUGUUUUCAGGUUUGAAAUGCAGUGGAAGGAAUUACCAACUAUGGAUUUACCCAUGUUUCAAGAAUCUGAGUUUUCGAUCUUUGGAGCAGAAGUUGUUUGUGACAGAUUUUCCAAAGGAGGUUGAAUAGUGUUUUCUGUUUUUAUUCGUGGAAAGUGCUUUUGUGGGCUGUGGAAUGUUUGUAGUACUUCUCUGUGAUCAAAGGGAGUUAACUCUGGCCAAUGGCUGACUGCAGAGCAAAAUCAGAUGACAGGAGUUGCACAGUCAUAGUUGGAUAUACUGGCGUCAGAAACAAAAUGUGUUGUGUUCCAAGAAAAUAUUUUAAAUUUUAACUUCAACAGGACGAGCGAGAGAGAGAGAGAGAAUAAGGAUUCAGGGGGAAUAACUCUAACAAC